GACGAACGCUGGCGGCAUGCCUAAUACAUGCAAGUCGAGCGGAGUUGAUGAGAAGCUUGCUUCUCUGAUACUUAGCGGCGGACGGGUGAGUAACACGUAGGCAACCUGCCCUCAAGCUUGGGACAACUACCGGAAACGGUAGCUAAUACCGAAUACUUGUUUUCUUCGCCUGAAGGAAACUGGAAAGACGGAGCAAUCUGUCACUUGGGGAUGGGCCUGCGGCGCAUUAGCUAGUUGGUGAGGUAACGGCUCACCAAGGCGACGAUGCGUAGCCGACCUGAGAGGGUGAUCGGCCACACUGGGACUGAGACACGGCCCAGACUCCUACGGGAGGCAGCAGUAGGGAAUCUUCCGCAAUGGGCGAAAGCCUGACGGAGCAAUGCCGCGUGAGUGAUGAAGGUUUUCGGAUCGUAAAGCUCUGUUGCCAGGGAAGAACGCUUGGGAGGGUAACUGCUCCCAAGGUGACGGUACCUGAGAAGAAAGCCCCGGCUAACUACGUGCCAGCAGCCGCCGCAG
rnacentral:rRNA from 1 species